rnacentral:ncRNA from 1 species
CACAAGUUUGGUCCUGGCCUUUCUAUUAAUUAUYAGUAAAAUUACACAUGCAAGCAUCCGCCUCCCAGUGAGAAUGCCCUCUAAAUCCAUACCGUGAUAUAAAGGAGCAGGUAUCAAGCACACCCGUUUUGGUUGCUCAUAACACCUUGCUCAGCCACGCCCCCACGGGAAACAGCAGUGAUAAAAAUUAGGCUAUAAACGAAAGUUUGACCAAGUUAUACUAAUAAAGGGUUGGUAAAUUUCGUGCCAGCCACCGCGGUCAUACGAUUAACCCAAAUUAAUAGACCCACGGCGUAAAGCGUGUUUAAGGAAUCCAUAAAAAUAAAACUAAAUUUCAGCUAUACUGUAAAAAGCUCUAGCUGUUGUAAAAUAGACUACGAAAGUAGUUUUACAAAACCUGACUACACGAUAGCUAAGACUCAAACUGGGAUUAGAUACCCCACUAUGCUUAGCCGUAAACCCAAAAAAUUAUAUUAACAAAAUUAUUCGCCAGAGUACUACUAGCCAYAGCCUAAAACUCAAAGGACUUGGCGGUGCUUUAUAUCUAYCUAGAGGAGCCUGUUCUGUAAUCGAYACACCCCGACAAACCUCACCAGCCUUUGCUAACUCAGUCUAUAUACCGCCAUCUCCAGCAAACCCUAAAAAGGAAUUGAAGUAAGCAUAAGUAUAAGAGCAUAAAAACGUUAGGUCAAGGUGUAGCCUAUAGGCUGGGAAGAAAUGGGCUACAUUCCCUAAUAAAGGGAACCACACCCUACGGAAAUUAUUGUGAAAUCAAUAGUCAAAGGUGGAUUUAGCAGUAAAUUAAGAAUAGAGAGCUUAAUUGAAUAUAGCCAUGAAGCACGCACACACCGCCCGUCACCCUCCUCAAGCUCUAUCAGUGCCCGAAUAAAUCUUAUAUCCUAAAAGCACCACCCCGCAAGAGGAGACAAGUCGUAACAAGGUAAGUGUACCGGAAGGUGCACUUGGACAACU